rnacentral:rRNA from 1 species
UAAUACGUAGGUGGCAAGCGUUGUCCGGAUUUAUUGGGCGUAAAGCGAGCGCAGGCGGUUUCUUAGGUCUGAUGUGAAAGCCUUCGGCUUAACCGGAGAAGUGCAUCGGAAACCAGGAGACUUGAGUGCAGAAGAGGACAGUGGAACUCCAUGUGUAGCGGUGAAAUGCGUAGAUAUAUGGAAGAACACCAGUGGCGAAGGCGGCUGUCUGGUCUGUAACUGACGCUGAGGCUCGAAAGCAUGGGUAGCGAACAGGAUUAGAUACCCUGGUAGUCCAUGCCGUAAACGAUGAGUGCUAAGUGUUGGAGGGUUUCCGCCCUUCAGUGCUGCAGCUAACGCAUUAAGCACUCCGCCUGGGGAGUACGACCGCAAGGUUGAAACUCAAAGGAAUUGACGGGGGCCCGCACAAGCGGUGGAGCAUGUGGUUUAAUUCGAUGCUACGCGAAGAACCUUACCAGGUCUUGACAUCUUCUGCCAACCUAAGAGAUUAGGCGUUCCCUUCGGGGACAGAAUGACAGGUGGUGCAUGGUUGUCGUCAGCUCGUGUCGUGAGAUGUUGGGUUAAGUCCCGCAACGAGCGCAACCCUUAUUGUUAGUUGCCAGCAUUUAGUUGGGCACUCUAGCAAGACUGCCGGUGACAAACCGGAGGAAGGUGGGGAUGACGUCAAAUCAUCAUGCCCCUUAUGACCUGGGCUACACACGUGCUACAAUGGACGGUACAACGAGUCGCGAAACCGCGAGGUCAAGCUAAUCUCUUAAAGCCGUUCUCAGUUCGGAUUGCAGGCUGCAACUCGCCUGCAUGAAGUUGGAAUCGCUAGUAAUCGUGGAUCAGCAUGCCACGGUGAAUACGUUCCCGGGCCUUGUACACACCGCCCGUCACACCAUGAGAGUUUGUAACACCCAAAGCCGGUGAGGUAACCUUCGGGGACCAGCCGUCUAAGGUGGGACAGAUGAUUAGGGUG